CAGAACGACAGCUUUAUAUGUUCGCUAAAUAUUAAUUCGGAUGAUAGUAGUGUUCUUAAACAGAAUUUAAAGGGAGUCUGCAUAAGAGCACCUUACAUAAAGCAUAUUUUAUCUGAUAAUGUAAAAAUUCUUGCAUUUUUUUCACAUGAACCAGUCGGAUCAAACAUCAUAGGAGGUGUUGAAGAAGACAAUUGCAUGGGGACCGUUUUUCAUCCAGAGUUAAUGCCGUGUUAUUAUUUUCAUAAUUAUUUUUUAGAGAAGGUCAAAAAUAAUAAAAAAAAA